GGAGUUAGCCGGUGCUUCUUCUGUGAGUGAUGUCCUUCCUGCCGGCUAUUAACCCGCAGGCCUUCUUCCUCACUGAAAGUGCUUUACAACCCGAAGGCCUUCUUCACACACGCGGCAUGGCUGGAUCAGGGUUGCCCCCAUUGUCCAAUAUUCCCCACUGCUGCCUCCCGUAGGAGUCUGGGCCGUGUCUCAGUCCCAGUGUGGCUGAUCAUCCUCUCAGACCAGCUACGGAUCGUCGCCUUGGUGAGCCGUUACCUCACCAACCAGCUAAUCCGACAUAGGCUCAUCCGAUAGCGCGAGGCCCGAAGGUCCCCCGCUUUCCCCCGUAGGGCGUAUGCGGUAUUAGCCUGGGUUUCCCCAGGUUAUCCCCCACUACCGGGGCAGAUUCCUAUGCAUUACUCACCCGUCCGCCGCUCGCCACCAGGGAGCAAGCUCCCCGUGCUGCCGCUCGACUUGCAUGUGUAGCUCGCCGCCACGCGUCAUCUGAGCAGAAUACAACUACUCGA
rnacentral:rRNA from 1 species